rnacentral:RNase_P_RNA from 1 species
GAAGUUGGUCGGAUGGUCGCUGGAAGGUUUACCUUUCAGAGGAAAGUCCGGGCUCCACAGAGCAAAGUGCUAGCUAACAGCUAGGUAUGGUGACAUAACGGAAAGUGCUGCAGAGAUUUAAACCGCCUAUUUCGAUAGGUAAGGGUGAGAAGGUGCGGUAAGAGCGCACCGCGCGUUUGGUGACAACCGUGGCAAGGUAAACCCCACCCCACUUGGAGCAAGCUCAAAUAGGCUACCAUUGGUGCGGCUCGCACAAGGUAGCGGGUAGAGUGCUAAAGCGUUUUGGCAACAAUCGUAGAUGAAUGACCGUCAACUACAGAACCCGGCUUAUAGACCGACUUCACUU